UGGGGAAUUUUGCGCAAUGGGGGAAACCCUGACGCAGCAACGCCGCGUGGACGAUGAAGGCCUUUGGGUCGUAAAGUCCUGUCAGCAGGGAAAAACAAAAUGAUGGUACCUGCAGAGGAAGCUCCGGCUAACUUCGUGCCAGCAGCCGCGGUAAUACGAGGGGAGCAAGCGUUGUUCGGAAUCAUUGGGCGUAAAGGGCGCGUAGGCGGCAGUACAAGUCUGGGGUGAAAGCCCUCGGCUUAACCGAGGAAUUGCCUUGGAAACUGUACAGCUUGAGUAUUGGAGAGGAAAGCGGAAUUCCCAGUGUAGCGGUGAAAUGCGUAGAUAUUGGGAGGAACACCGGUGGCGAAGGCGGCUUUCUGGACAAUCACUGACGCUGAGGCGCGAAAGCCAGGGGAGCAAACGGGAUUAGAUACCCCCGUAGUCC
rnacentral:rRNA from 1 species